UACAGAGGGUGCAAGCGUUCAUCGGAAUUACUGGGCGUAAAGCGUGCGUAGACGGUUGCGUAAGUCAGAUGUGAAAGCCCCGGGCUCAACCUGGGAAUUGCAUUUGAGACUGCGUAGCUAGGGUGCGGAAGAGGGAAGCGGAAUUUCCGGUGUAGCGGUGAAAUGCGUAGAUAUCGGAAGGAACACCAGUGGCGAAAGCGGCUUCCUGGUCCAGCACCGACGUUCAGGCACGAAAGCGUGGGGAGCAAACAGG
rnacentral:rRNA from 1 species